rfam:Brachypodium distachyon strain Bd21 chromosome 2, whole genome shotgun sequence.
AUUGUACUCCCUCCGUUCAACAAAAGAUGUCUCAAAUUUGAUCAAAUUUGGAUGCAUCUAUACACUAAGUCAUGUCUAGAUAUAUCCAAAUUUUAACAAACUUGAGACAUUUUUUGUUGGACGGAGGGAGUAAUAC